GACGAACGCUGGCGGCGUGCUUAACACAUGCAAGUCGAACGGUAAGGCCCUUCGGGGUACACGAGUGGCGAACGGGUGAGUAACACGUGGGUGAUCUGCCCUGCACUUCGGGAUAAGCCUGGGAAACUGGGUCUAAUACCGGAUAGGACCACUGCCUGCAUGGGUGGUGGUGGAAAGCUUUUGCGGUGUGGGAUGGGCCCGCGGCCUAUCAGCUUGUUGGUGGGGUGAUGGCCUACCAAGGCGACGACGGGUAGCCGGCCUGGGAGGGUGACCGGCCACACUGGGACUGAGAUACGGCCCAGACUCCUACGGGAGGGAGCAGUGGGGAAUAUUGCACAAUGGGCACAAGCCUGAUGCAGCGACGCCGCGUGAGGGAUGACGGCCUUCGGGUUGUAAACCUCUUUCAGCACCGACGAAGCGCAAGUGACGGUAGGUGCAGAAGAAGGACCGGCCAACUACGUGCCAGCCGCCGCAGUAA
rnacentral:rRNA from 1 species